rnacentral:rRNA from 1 species
CCUGGCUCAGGACGAACGCUGGCGGCGUGCCUAAUACAUGCAAGUCGAGCGCAGGAAGUUAUCUGAUCCUCUUUUAGAGGUGACGAUAAUGGAAUGAGCGGCGGACGGGUGAGUAACACGUAGGCAACCUGCCUGUAAGACUGGGAUAACUCGUGGAAACGCGAGCUAAUACCGGAUAACACUUUUCAUCUCCUGAUGAGAAGUUGAAAGGCGGCUUUUGCUGUCACUUACAGAUGGGCCUGCGGCGCAUUAGCUAGUUGGUAAGGUAAUGGCUUACCAAGGCGACGAUGCGUAGCCGACCUGAGAGGGUGAUCGGCCACACUGGGACUGAGACACGGCCCAGACUCCUACGGGAGGCAGCAGUAGGGAAUCUUCCGCAAUGGACGAAAGUCUGACGGAGCAACGCCGCGUGAGUGAUGAAGGUUUUCGGAUCGUAAAACUCUGUUGUUAGGGAAGAACAGAGUAGCCAUAGUAACUGAUGG